GAGUUUGAUCAUGGCUCAGGACGAACGCUGGCGGCGUGCCUAAUACAUGCAAGUCGAGCGAGCUUGCCUAGAUGAUUUUAGUGCUUGCACUAAAUGAAACUAGAUACAAGCGAGCGGCGGACGGGUGAGUAACACGUGGGUAACCUGCCCAAGAGACUGGGAUAACACCUGGAAACAGAUGCUAAUACCGGAUAACAACACUAGACGCAUGUCUAGAGUUUGAAAGAUGGUUCUGCUAUCACUCUUGGAUGGACCUGCGGUGCAUUAGCUAGUUGGUAAGGUAACGGCUUACCAAGGCAAUGAUGCAUAGCCGAGUUGAGAGACUGAUCGGCCACAUUGGGACUGAGACACGGCCCAAACUCCUACGGGAGGCAGCAGUAGGGAAUCUUCCACAAUGGACGAAAGUCUGAUGGAGCAACGCCGCGUGAGUGAAGAAGGGUUUCGGCUCGUAAAGCUCUGUUGGUAGUGAAGAAAGAUAGAGGUAGUAACUGGCCUUUAUUUGACGGUAAUUACUUAGAAAGUCACGGCUAACUACGUGCCAGCAGCCGCGGUAAUACGUAGGUGGCAAGCGUUGUCCGGAUUUAUUGGGCGUAAAGCGAGUGCAGGCGGUUCAAUAAGUCUGAUGUGAAAGCCUUCGGCUCAACCGGAGAAUUGCAUCAGAAACUGUUGAACUUGAGUGCAGAAGAGGAGAGUGGAACUCCAUGUGUAGCGGUGGAAUGCGUAGAUAUAUGGAAGAACACCAGUGGCGAAGGCGGCUCUCUGGUCUGCAACUGACGCUGAGGCUCGAAAGCAUGGGUAGCGAACAGGAUUAGAUACCCUGGUAGUCCAUGCCGUAAACGAUGAGUGCUAAGUGUUGGGAGGUUUCCGCCUCUCAGUGCUGCAGCUAACGCAUUAAGCACUCCGCCUGGGGAGUACGACCGCAAGGUUGAAACUCAAAGGAAUUGACGG
rnacentral:rRNA from 1 species